rnacentral:rRNA from 1 species
AUUGAACGCUGGCGGCAUGCCUUACACAUGCAAGUCGAACGGCAGCACGGGAGCAAUCCUGGUGGCGAGUGGCGAACGGGUGAGUAAUAUAUCGGAACGUGCCCAGUAGUGGGGGAUAGCCCGGCGAAAGCCGGAUUAAUACCGCAUACGACCUACGGGUGAAAGCGGGGGAUCGCAAGACCUCGCGCUAUUGGAGCGGCCGAUGUCAGAUUAGCUAGUUGGUGGGGUAAAAGCCUACCAAGGCGACGAUCUGUAGCUGGUCUGAGAGGACGACCAGCCACACUGGGACUGAGACACGGCCCAGACUCCUACGGGAGGCAGCAGUGGGAAUUUUGGACAAUGGGGGCAACCCUGAUCCAGCCAUGCCGCGUGCGGGAAGAAGGCCUCGGUUGUAAACCGCUUUGUCAGGGAAGAAACGGUACGUGCGCUAAUACCGCGGA